rnacentral:rRNA from 1 species
UACGGAGGGGGCUAGCGUUGUUCGGAAUUACUGGGCGUAAAGCGCAUGUAGGCGGAUAUUUAAGUCAGGGGUGAAAUCCCGCAGCUCAACUGCGGAACUGCCUUUGAUACUGGGUAUCUUGAGUAUGGAAGAGGUGAGUGGAAUUCCGAGUGUAGAGGUGAAAUUCGUAGAUAUUCGGAGGAACACCAGUGGCGAAGGCGGCUCACUGGUCCAUUACUGACGCUGAGGUGCGAAAGCGUGGGGAGCAAACAGG